AGAGUUUGAUCCUGGCUCAGGAUGAACGCUAGCGGCAGGCUUAACACAUGCAAGUCGAGGGGUAUAAGUCUUCGGAUUUAGAGACCGGCGCACGGGUGCGUAACGCGUAUGCAAUCUACCUUUUACAGAGGGAUAGCCCAGAGAAAUUUGGAUUAAUACCUCAUAGUAUAGCUGAACCGCAUGGUUCUACUAUUAAAGUCACAACGGUAAAAGAUGAGCAUGCGUCCCAUUAGCUAGUUGGUAAGGUAACGGCUUACCAAGGCUACGAUGGGUAGGGGUCCUGAGAGGGAGAUCCCCCACACUGGUACUGAGACACGGACCAGACUCCUACGGGAGGCAGCAGUGAGGAAUAUUGGUCAAUGGACGCAAGUCUGAACCAGCCAUGCCGCGUGCAGGAUGACGGCCCUAUGGAUUGUAAACUGCUUUUGCACAAGAAGAAACAACUCUACGUGUAGAGUCUUGACGGUACUGUGAGAAUAAGGAUCGGCUAACUCCGUGCCAGCAGCCGCGGUAAUACGGAGGAUCCAAGCGUUAUCCGGAAUCAUUGGGUUUAAAGGGUCCGUAGGCGGUUUAGUAAGUCAGUGGUGAAAGCCCAUCGCUCAACGGUGGAACGGCCAUUGAUACUGCUAGACUUGAAUUAUUAGGAAGUAACUAGAAUAUGUAGUGUAGCGGUGAAAUGCUUAGAGAUUACAUGGAAUACCAAUUGCGAAGGCAGGUUACUAUUAAUGGAUUGACGCUGAUGGACGAAAGCGUGGGUAGCGAACAGGAUUAGAUACCCUGGUAGUCCACGCCGUAAACGAUGGAUACUAGCUGUUGGAAGCAAUUUCAGUGGCUAAGCGAAAGUGAUAAGUAUCCCACCUGGGGAGUACGUUCGCAAGAAUGAAACUCAAAGGAAUUGACGGGGGCCCGCACAAGCGGUGGAGCAUGUGGUUUAAUUCGAUGAUACGUGAGGAACCUUACCAAGGCUUAAAUGUAGAUUGACCGGUUUGGAAACAGACUUUUCGCAAGACAAUUUACAAGGUGCUGCAUGGUUGUCGUCAGCUCGUGCCGUGAGGUGUCAGGUUAAGUCCUAUAACGAGCGCAACCCCUGUUGUUAGUUGCCAGCGAGUCAUGUCGGGAACUCUAACAAGACUGCCAGUGUAAACUGUGAGGAAGGUGGGGAUGACGUCAAAUCAUCACGGCCCUUACGCCUUGGGCUACACACGUGCUACAAUGGCCGGUACAGAGAGCAGCCACUGGGCGACCAGGAGCGAAUCUACAAAACCGGUCACAGUUCGGAUCGGAGUCUGCAACUCGACUCCGUGAAGCUGGAAUCGCUAGUAAUCGGAUAUCAGCCAUGAUCCGGUGAAUACGUUCCCGGGCCUUGUACACACCGCCCGUCAAGCCAUGGAAGCUGGGGGUGCCUGAAGUCGGUGACCGCAAGGAGCUGCCUAGGGUAAAACUGGUAACUAGGGCUAAGUCGUAACAAGGUA
rnacentral:rRNA from 1 species